AGAGAGGACCCGGAAGGCCCUUUGCAUUGGGACUGCUAGUUUUCUGUGGGUCACAUGCAAGGUCUCUCAUGGAGGGUGUCACGGUGGUCCUCCUCCUUAUCUGGACUCUGAUAUCUCCCAGCAGCAACGGCAAAGCCUGGCCCCCACACACGGUCUGCCGGGAUGGAAACUUGGAAGUGUUCUACCAGAGUUGUGAUCCACUACAAGAUUUUGGCUUUUCUGUUGACCAGUGUUCUAAACACUUGAAGUCAAAUCUCAACAUUAGGCUUGGAAUCGUUCUGAGAGAGGACAUCAAAGAGCUGUUUCUUGACAUAGCUCUCUUCACUAAAGGAUCGUCCAUUUUGAAUUUCUCCUAUCCCAUCUGUGAAGAGGACCUACCGAAGUUUUCCUUCUGUGGGAGAAGGAAAGGGGAACAGAUUUAUUAUGCUGGCCCCAUCAAUAAUCCUGGAUUUGAAAUUCUCGAGAUUAAACCCCUUUCCUUCUCUGGAUGACAGGCACUUCAAAGAUGUGCCAGGAAUCUCUUGAGAUCCUUCCCUCUUGGGCCCUUUGCCCUGCUCCCCACUAAGUCGUGCCACCCAGAGUGUCUCUUCUCCAGACGGGGAGAAUACCAGGUCUUGCUGGAACUGUAUAAUGAGAAGCGCUCCACCGUGGCCUGUGCCAAUGCUACGGUCAUUUGCUCCUGAGAAGCUAAGACGCGGAGCACGCUCUGUCUUGUGGGAACUGCAGGCUGCCCACACUGAACCUGCUCUGGAAGAAACACCAGUAGACAACAGAGAGGCUCAUCAGAGGUGCAGGUGCAGAUUUUAGCCCCGGGGGCCAGACGUCCCCAGACUCCACAGGUGUACGUGCUUCUAAAGGAGCCUCCUGAUGGUCACCAGCCCGUGGGUCCACCCUCCUCCAAACGGCCAGGCUCUCCUGCUUCUCAGCUCCUCGGGAGCACUUCUUCAGUUACCCAGAAUAAAGAAAUCUGGCCCACA